CUCUAAUUGAUACCAAAAAAUUCCCCAAUGGCAUUGUAUUAAUCAACGCCACAAGUCCUUCACUCAUUGAAAUCUCCAAAAAUCACCACGUUCUACGUUUCGUUUAAAGAAACCCUCAAUUCAUAUUCAAUCAAUAUUUUCGAAACUGGAGUUUCACAAAACCUUAUUUCUCGUCCAUUUUCCAAUUAUUCUCACAUUAUCUUGGGUGAUUCUAGGGAUUUAUUGUCAAUAUAAAGCUGUGAGGUUGCUAUUCUUCUCCAAAAAACCUCACAAUACUAGUUUAUAUUCAAAUCAAGGUUGAAGCACUAAUUGAUUUCUGCAUAUUCGAGUUACUGCUCAGAAAUGGAUACGAACAAUGAAAGAUGCCAUGUGAAAAUGAUUUCUCAAUCUCAAGAACCAGCCGUCGACUAUCAAGUACAUACGGGACAUGAAGAAUACACCCAUAACGAAAACCAGUACUAAGAGUCAAGAGACGUAUAGACGUUGUUGAUUCUACAUAGAACAAGAAAAAGAUGGUGCAACAACACGAACCAAGGGCGAGUUUUUUAUUGAUUUAUUUAUUUUUCACAUUCCCCUUUUUUCUGAUUUUCCAUGUCACCUCUUUUUCAAAAUUAUGACACCUUGUACUUAUCGAUUGGUAUUCAAGAUGUGAAAUGUAUUCGUUUAUUUAGGUUGUGAGCAUAUUUUACAUUGUGCACAUAUGGUCAAUGUAAUGUUACCCCCACAUAUAUCAUAUGUUCGGAUAUAGGAUUCCAGAUUGCACUUUCCAUGAGGAUAUGAAAUAACUGCAGUUCAAGAUUCACUAAAUAUCAUUUUUAAGUUAACAUGGUUUGUAAGGAUCGUAAAAAAUUGAUUCUGUUGAAUCUAUUCGUAACAAUGAAUUGAAUAAGUUGCCUUUGCAUUUUAAAGUCCUAUUCAAUUUGCAAAGAGAGGCCCUAACGAGGACAGGACUAGCUACUUUCUUUAAGGUGCAACCUUUUCUGUCCAUGUCCAUCUCAGAGCCUAUCCCAUCACGGGGAAGGUCCCAUAGUCAGUAGCUCGAUUCUUUUGAUUUUUUCUUCAUAGUAAACUGAUGGGGAGAUGCGGAGCACUAGGUCGAAUUACCAUAUGCUUCUUGCUUUUCGCGAGCAAGAAGCGCCAACUUACUAUGUUGCUUAUUGUUCUUUGAGAUGCUCCUCCCCGUCGAUCAAGGAUUUUGAUUCUCGUGAUAGGCUUAGCUUUAAGCCGUUAGCGUUCGGUUCGGAUAAGUCAAGUCUCUUCGGUUGUUGCGCUCAGGUGGUCUUCUCUUAUCUUCCCUUACGUUCAGAGUUGUUCUGGUUUGAGAUGAGAAAGGAGCACCGGCCGAGCGCCAUGAAUGAAUAAGAAAUUGACAGCAGAGAGAAUCAAUGAUUCUUAUUCGACUGAGUUCUAGCUCGCAACAUGUCGAUUACAUAAAUUUGCAUGCUAUUAUCAUUCUUUUGAGCUUGAAAAUCAGCUCUUGUGAUCUGCUGGUGCUUCUGGGACUAGUCCAGCAGAUCAUUGCCAGAUACUAAAACAAAUGACUAGAUUUCAAAUUGUGUAUUUGGUUUUAAAUAUCAGAUUUAACGUUUCAACUAAAUUUGUUGUCUACGUAUGAUACGAUUUGAACAUUGCACUCAUCAUAUUUGAUAUGUGUUAGUGUCUAUUAUUUGCUUGACUAUUACAUGUGUGUAUCCAUUGGUUAUAUUAAUAGUAUUGAAUUGAUACCCUGCGGUUUAUAACUUUUCUUCUGAUUUGAUUCAGCCACCACUGCAAUUCAUAAGUGAUCAUGUUGAUCAUAAACCAAAAAGUACACUCCAUGACAGAAAACUUUGAUGCAAAGAGAUCAAGAAGCUACUUUGCUGCACAACUUUACAAAGGAUUGGGUUUGGACCUUUCCUGCGCAGCUUAGAUGGAAGGCGAAGAAGGCCUCCUUCCGAGGGGAUUCUGACUUGGCUCCACAAAGCGUGAGGGGAAGGAAGAGCAAGGAAGGGAACAUGACACCCAGUUUUAGUGGUAGCUUAUGUUAGUUUAGGCAUAUAUAUUUCAAUCAUUUUCUCUAAAAACAUUGUCAUUGUACACAGGUUUAAGCUAUUUUGUGGUGUACGAACUAUGUCAUUUUGAUUGGGAAAUGUCGGUGAAAUUUGACAUUGAUUUCAUGACGCUAUGGAAGGAUGGUCGUUUAUUUUGGUGUCACUGUAAUUGAUGUUUGUCCAAGUAGUGUUGUUAACUCAUCGAUCCAAAAUCAUCGGCGGGAAAUUUUAUUAAUAUAUCAUGUG
rnacentral:lncRNA from 1 species